rnacentral:lncRNA from 1 species
UACAUAUGUAAACAUUACGUUUACAUAUGUUAUUAAAUCGUAAUACUUAUACAAUUGGUUCAAAGUGCGCUAUUUUUGCACUGUCAUUAAAUGCUCAAUGCGUGCUGAACGAGCUACGUUUCUCUUUUUCGAUUUAGCUAGAUGAUUUGAAUGCUUUGUCUAGUGAAUGUCGAAAUGCUUGUGUUAAGGCUUUAAAACGGGUGCCUCUAAGUGAAAUUUAUAUGAGAAAUGAUCGUAUUUGCCAAGACAUUGCAUAACAGCUUGAAGGAAAACCAGCUGCCUUGGAAAACAAAAUUAAUCCAGAUGGGUUGCCCAACGAAAAUUUAGGACACAUUUCUGGUCUCCAACCAAGUCGACCUGCCUGCCUACUCCCUAUUUAAAAAGUCCUUAAAAAGAGCUAGAAUGAAGCAUGAGGUCCGAGCUAAAGUUGUUUCUGCAUAGUGCACAAGAAUUUGAUAAUGUUUCAGAAAAAAUUGAAGAAAUUUGAGCAAAACUUAGAGAAGCUUAGGGAGAUUUAGGGAAGCUGUGUUAGUGAGGCAAUUCAAACUGAUAUACCUAACUGAAGAAUAUUCAAGUCGAUUUUGUGUUUCUCAGGUAAUUCAUGAAAAACACGAUUUGAUUUUUGCAAUUCAAUAAUGUACACCUUGCCAACAAAAUUGGAAGUGAUGGAUGUAAAUGUGAAUUAUUUUAAAAAUAAAUGCUUUAUUCCUAA